UGUGAGCUCGAUGAGUAGGGCGGGACACGUGGUAUCCUGUCUGAAUAUGGGGGGACCAUCCUCCAAGGCUAAAUACUCCUGACUGACCGAUAGUGAACCAGUACCGUGAGGGAAAGGCGAAAAGAACCCCGGUGUGACUGCGUACCUUUUGUAUAAUGGGUCAGCGACUUAUAUUCUGUAGCAAGGUUAACCGAAUAGGGGAGCCGAAGGGAAACCGAGUCUUAACUGGGCGUUAAGUUGCAGGGUAUAGACCCGAAACCCGGUGAUCUAGCCAUGGGCAGGUUGAAGGUUGGGUAACACUAACUGGAGGACCGAACCGACUAAUGUUGAAAAAUUAGCGGAUGACUUGUGGCUGGGGGUGAAAGGCCAAUCAAACCGGGAGAUAGCUGGUUCUCCCCGAAAGCUAUUUAGGUAGCGCCUCGUGAAUUCAUCUCCGGGGGUAGAGCACUGUUUCGGCAAGGGGGUCAUCCCGACUUACCAACCCGAUGCAAACUGCGAAUACCGGAGAAUGUUAUCACGGGAGACACACGGCGGGUGCUAACGUCCGUCGUGAAGAGGGAAACAACCCAGACCGCCAGCUAAGGUCCCAAAGUCAUGGUUAAGUGGGAAACGAUGUGGGAAGGCCCAGACAGCCAGGAUGUUGGCUUAGAAGCAGCCAUCAUUUAAAGAAAGCGUAAUAGCUCACUGGUCGAGUCGGCCUGCGCGGAAGAUGUAACGGGGCUAAACCAUGCACCGAAGCUGCGGCAGCGACGCUGAUGCGUUGUUGGGUAGGGGAGCGUUCUGUAAGCCUGCGAAGGUGUGCUGUGAGGCAUGCUGGAGGUAUCAGAAGUGCGAAUGCUGACAUAAGUAACGAUAAAGCGGGUGAAAAGCCCGCUCGCCGGAAGACCAAGGGUUCCUGUCCAACGUUAAUCGGGGCAGGGUGAGUCGACCCCUAAGGCGAGGCCGAAAGGCGUAGUCGAUGGGAAACAGGUUAAUAUUCCUGUACUUGGUGUUACUGCGAAGGGGGGACGGAGAAGGCUAUGUUGGCCGGGCGACGGUUGUCCCGGUUUAAGCGUGUAGGCUGGUUUUCCAGGCAAAUCCGGAAAAUCAAGGCUGAGGCGUGAUGACGAGGCACUACGGUGCUGAAGCAACAAAUGCCCUGCUUCCAGGAAAAGCCUCUAAGCAUCAGGUAACAUCAAAUCGUACCCCAAACCGACACAGGUGGUCAGGUAGAGAAUACCAAGGCGCUUGAGAGAACUCGGGUGAAGGAACUAGGCAAAAUGGUGCCGUAACUUCGGGAGAAGGCACGCUGAUAUGUAGGUGAAGUCCCUCGCGGAUGGAGCUGAAAUCAGUCGAAGAUACCAGCUGGCUGCAACUGUUUAUUAAAAACACAGCACUGUGCAAACACGAAAGUGGACGUAUACGGUGUGACGCCUGCCCGGUGCCGGAAGGUUAAUUGAUGGGGUUAGCGCAAGCGAAGCUCUUGAUCGAAGCCCCGGUAAACGGCGGCCGUAACUAUAACGGUCCUAAGGUAGCGAAAUUCCUUGUCGGGUAAGUUCCGACCUGCACGAAUGGCGUAAUGAUGGCCAGGCUGUCUCCACCCGAGACUCAGUGAAAUUGAACUCGCUGUGAAGAUGCAGUGUACCCGCGGCAAGACGGAAAGACCCCGUGAACCUUUACUAUAGCUUGACACUGAACAUUGAGCCUUGAUGUGUAGGAUAGGUGGGAGGCUUUGAAGUGUGGACGCCAGUCUGCAUGGAGCCGACCUUGAAAUACCACCCUUUAAUGUUUGAUGUUCUAACGUUGACCCGUGAUCCGGGUUGCGGACAGUGUCUGGUGGGUAGUUUGACUGGGGCGGUCUCCUCCUAAAGAGUAACGGAGGAGCACGAAGGUUGGCUAAUCCUGGUCGGACAUCAGGAGGUUAGUGCAAUGGCAUAAGCCAGCUUGACUGCGAGCGUGACGGCGCGAGCAGGUGCGAAAGCAGGUCAUAGUGAUCCGGUGGUUCUGAAUGGAAGGGCCAUCGCUCAACGGAUAAAAGGUACUCCGGGGAUAACAGGCUGAUACCGCCCAAGAGUUCAUAUCGACGGCGGUGUUUGGCACCUCGAUGUCGGCUCAUCACAUCCUGGGGCUGAAGUAGGUCCCAAGGGUAUGGCUGUUCGCCAUUUAAAGUGGUACGCGAGCUGGGUUUAGAACGUCGUGAGACAGUUCGGUCCCUAUCUGCCGUGGGCGCUGGAGAACUGAGGGGGGCUGCUCCUAGUACGAGAGGACCGGAGUGGACGCAUCACUGGUGUUCGGGUUGUCAUGCCAAUGGCACUGCCCGGUAGCUAAAUGCGGAAGAGAUAAGUGCUGAAAGCAUCUAAGCACGAAACUUGCCCCGAGAUGAGUUCUCCCUGACUCCUUGA
rnacentral:rRNA from 1 species